UCGUAGUUGGAUCUAGGGACGCGCAUUUCAAGCGCCCGUGCCAUCGGGUCAAACCGGUGGCUGCGUUGGCGUUGCGGGCUCGGUCCGUCGGUGCCCCACAAAGGGCUAUCGGCGUGUCAACCGGCCCGCCCGUCCCCUCCUUCUGGAUUCCCGUUCCUGCUAUUGAGUUAGUGGGGACGUCACAGGGGGUCCAUCGUCGUGCGGCGUCAAAACCGUGCGGCGGUGGGUCCCUGGGGCCCAGAUCGUUUACCGUGAAAAAAUUAGAGUGUUCAAAGCAGGCAGAUCCAAUUUUCUGCCACCGAAUACAUUAGCAUGGGAUAAUGGAAUAGGACCCUGUCCUCCUAUUUUCAGUUGGUUUUGGCAGCGCGAGGACUAGGGUAAUGAUUAAUAGGGAUAGUUGGGGGCAUUAAUAUUUAAUUGUCAGAGGUGAAAUUCUUGGAUUUAUGAAAGAUUAACUUCUGCGAAAGCAUCUGCCAAGGAUGUUUUCAUUAAUCAAGAACGAAAGUUAGGGGAUCGAAGACGAUCAGAUACCGUCGUAGUCUUAACCAUAAACGAUGCCGACCAGCGAUUAGGAGACGUUGAAUACAAAACACCACCAUCGGUGCGGUCGUCCUUGGCGUCUCGGUCCUUCACGGGGCCGGGGCGCGGGGGUGGCUUAGCCCGGUGGCACCGGUGAAUGACUCCCCUAGCAGCUUGUGAGAAAUCAUAAGUCUUUGGGUUCCGGGGGGAGUAUGGUCGCAAGGCUGAAACUUAAAGGAAUUGACGGAAGGGCACCACCAGGAGUGGAGCCUGCGGC
rnacentral:rRNA from 1 species